AACUCUGAAGGAGCAUAUGCAAGUAGCACAGCCAGAAGGAUUGAACGAACUUCAGAGAAUUGCUGUGCGAUACGAAAACUUUAUCUAUACCACAGCGGACACCAAGCUUGAUUAUUUGCACAAGAUCACUUGGAAAAUGCGUCGAUUGGAGAUGGGUAUACAACAUCCUCUGGAAGUUAUUCCAAACCAAAACAAUCCUGGUCAAGUCAUAGAUGGUUAUGGCCAGACAGGAGCACAAAACGCUAGUGGACGAGACGAUGUGCGAGGUUAGG